GAUGGACGCUGGCGGCGUGCCUAAUACAUGCAAGUCGAGCGAAUGGAUUAAGGGCUUGCUCUUAUGAAGUUAGCGGCGGACGGGUGAGUAACACGUGGGUAACCUGCCCAUAAGACUGGGAUAACUCCGGGAAACCGGGGCUAAUACCGGAUAACAUUUUGAACCGCAUGGUUCGAAAUUGAAAGGCGGCUUCGGCUGUCACUUAUGGAUGGACCCGCGUCGCAUUAGCUAGUUGGUGAGGUAACGGCUCACCAAGGCAACGAUGCGUAGCCGACCUGAGAGGGUGAUCGGCCACACUGGGACUGAGACACGGCCCAGACUCCUACGGGAGGCAGCAGUAGGGAAUCUUCCGCAAUGGACGAAAGUCUGACGGAGCAACGCCGCGUGAGUGAUGAAGGCUUUCGGGUCGUAAAACUCUGUUGUUAGGGAAGAACAAGUGCUAGUUGAAUAAGCUGCACCUUGACGGUACCUAACCAGAAAGCCACGGCUAACUACGUGCCAGCCGCCGCGGUAA
rnacentral:rRNA from 1 species